CAGUCGCCGCGGGAAUACAGAGGGUGCGAGCGUUAAUCGGAUUUACUGGGCGUAAAGCGUGCGUAGGCGGCUUCUUAAGUCGGAUGUGAAAUCCCUGAGCUUAACUUAGUAAUUGCAUUCGAUACUGGGAAGCUAGAGUAUGGGAGAGGAUGGUAGAAUUCCAGGUGUAGCGGUGAAAUGCGUAGAGAUCUGGAGGAAUACCGAUGGCGAAGGCAGCCAUCUGGCCUAAUACUGACGCUGAGGUACGAAAGCAUGGGGAGCAAACAGGAUUAGAUACCCCCGUAGUCCCUGUCUCUUAUAC
rnacentral:rRNA from 1 species